rnacentral:rRNA from 1 species
CAAUAGCGUAUAUUAAAGUUGUUGCAGUUAAAAAGCUCGUAGUCGGAUUUCAGGGCAGGGCGACCGGUCUGCCGAUGGGUAUGCACUGGUCGGCGUGUCCUUCCUUCUGGAGACUGUGUUUACUCUUAACUGAGCGAAGACAGGAAACAGAUCGUUUACUUUGAAAAAUCAGAGUGCUCAAAGCAGGCCAAGAUUGCUCUUGCAUGGAUUAGCAUGGGAUAAUGAAAUAGGACUUUGGUGCUAUUUUGUUGGUUUCGAACACCGAAGUAAUGAUUAAUAGGGAUAGUCAGGGGCACUCGUAUUCCGUCGAGAGAGGUGAAAUUCUCAGACCAAUGGAAGACGAACUACUGCGAAAGCAUUUGCCAGGGAUGUUUUCACUGAUCAAGAACGAAAGUUAGGGGAUCGAAGAUGAUUAGAUACCGU